rnacentral:misc_RNA from 1 species
GAAGAAGAAGAAGAAGGACAAAGAGACCGGCUGUCGCUUCUCCUUGGAGAUAGUUUGCGACGCAAUCUUGUUAGAGCUGAUUUGGGUGAAGAUGAAGGUGAAAGCUUGGAGGAGUUCAUGAUGAAAAUAAGAGAUGAAGUGAAUUCAAAAUUGAAGGAGAUUAAGGCCGUGUAUAUGUAUAGCUGAAACCAAGUGAAAUUGGAUAAG